ACAAUUCAUCAUUCCAAUGGCAAGAAAGUCGUAGUGAUGACAUCCAAUUGGAAACCAAAUAAUAAUGCAUCCAAUUACCUUCUGUUUAGAAUAAUUGAAAAAUCCCAUGAUAUCAUCUACAGACUACAUAUGCUCACUCCACAAGUCAAAUUAUGUUACCGCAUCAUAAAACUUUUUCCUCCUGUCUUCAGUAUAUCAGAAAACAGUAUCCAAGAAAAUGGUAUCAUAUUGAAUUUUAAAUAGGGGAUGGAAAGACCUCUUCUUCAAAUCGUGAAUCGUAAGAUACAUUGCUAAUAAAAAUGUCAAUUGUAACUAAAAAAGCAAGUGAAAUAACAAAAUUAUAACUUGAUAUAUCAUAUAGGAACCUCAAAAUAUUUAAAGAUUCAAGUCAUAUCAAAUGACAGAAUAAAAGUGGUUGACUGCACUAAGUUUCGGCAGUUAUUUAUUAGAAGGAAUCAGGAUUCAAGAUAAGAUUCAUCUCCAAAAAGUAAAAACCGGGGAUUCAUAUCAAUUGAGUUCAAUUUAGUAUUGAAUCAAGAUAGAACUUGUUGCAUUUAACCAAUGAAGGGUAGUAUUACAAACAGUCCAAAAAAGCAAAAAACAUCACAGUAGUUUCUUCACUUAAUUUCUCACACACCAAAAUAAAUCAAUAAUUGAAAACACCACAUUCAAUUCAAUACAGUAGUAAUUAAUGAAGCAAUAAAAAAAUAGUAAAAAACAAAAUUGCAAAAUUGGAGAGAUAGCAGUACCUUCCAAUCAAUGGCAUGAAAAAAACCCAAAAAGUUAUCGUAAGCAGGACGAAGGUUAGAA
rnacentral:lncRNA from 1 species